GACGUAGGAUGCGAGCGUUGUCCGGAAUUAUUGGGCGUAAAGCGAACGUAGGCGGUUCCUUAAGUUUGGGGUUAAAGACCGAGGCUCAACCUCGGGAGUGCCCUGAAUACUGGGGGACUGGAGGACGGCAGAGGAAAGUGGAAUUCCCAGUGUAGCGGUGAAAUGCGUAGAUAUUGGGAGGAACACCAGUGGCGAAAGCGACUUUCUGGGCCGUUCCUGACGCUGAGGUUCGAAAGCGUGGGGAGCAAACAGGAUUAGAAACCCCUGUAGUCC
rnacentral:rRNA from 1 species